AUGAAUAUUGCCCUCCUCUCCCGUUGGCUCUGGCGCAUUUCGCAAGGGCACGGCGGCCUUUGGUUAGACAUCAUCGGGAACAAGUACCUGCGCGGACAACCGCUCGCCUUCUGUCAAAGGUCCGGCGGCUCCCAGUUUUUGCAGUCGGUCAUCCAACUGCUUCCCGUCCUCCGCAUUGGGACCUCCAUCUCUAUCGGAUCGGGCGCCGCGAUGUUGUUCUGGUUUGACCGUUGGGAGGGAGACACCCCCUUCGCGGCUCGCUUCCCCGACCUCUUCUCCAUCGCCAUCGUUCCCUUGAUCUCAGUUGAGAGGGCCCUUAUUGACUUAGGGCACCUUGCUUUCCAGAGGCCAUUUGGGCCUCCGGAAACCACUGCUUGGCAGGAGCUGCCUGAUUGCGUCGCCCUCCACGAGUCGGUUGUGGACGCUGGCCCGGAUGAGGUGUGGUGGUGUCUUGAGCCUUCGGGCCAAUUCGCCACCAAGUCCCUCUACAGGGCCAUUGCCCCCUCCUCCGCCCCUUCCCCCCUUACGGCAGUGUGGUCUAUCCGCCUGCCACUGAAAAUCCGGAUAUUCAUGUGGCAAUGGAUUCGCGGACGGCUCCUGUUGGGGAUAUUACUACUGGGCGUAAACCGGCCAGGAAAGGUUGGGUUAUCCUUAUGA
rnacentral:rRNA from 1 species